AUUAAAUUUUUACAUGAUCUGAGUUUAGACCGGUGUAAGCCAGGUUGGUUUCUAUCUUUAUUAAUUUAAUA
rnacentral:tRNA from 1 species